AUAUAUAUAUAUAGAGUCCAGCUAUGGUGCUUGUAAAAGCACUAAGUACCUGGUGCUUGUAAGUAUUUUACCGUUAGAUCUACUCCUUGGAUUAUUUUCAAUCAUUAGAUUAUACUAUUCAACCAACCACCCACUCAACCCUAGGGCGCCCACAUCAUCCUAACCGCACAUCUCUUAAUCCAAUGGCUAAAAAUCUACAAGCACUAAUAACUUGGUACUUUAAAAGCAUAGGAGUUCAAUUAUAUAUAUAUAUAUAUAUAUACACAUAGAACUAGGCUACUAUACUAUCGGUAGCACGGAGCGCUCCGUUAAAUUUACAAAUGCAUCACAUCUACCAUUAAAAUUGUCAAUUUUGAAACCUUUUGAUCACUAGCGAAAUGAUGUCGAAAAAUUCUAAAAUUUAGUUUCCCACUAUUUUCAAUAGUGUAGAUCAAGUCUAACGGAGCCGAUCGUCGAUUUGGAAGCCGCAUCAUUGAAAACAACUUGGUAGCACGGAAGCCUCCGUGCUACCGAUAGUAUACCAGCCUA
rnacentral:lncRNA from 1 species